rnacentral:lncRNA from 1 species
UGACGCUCUGGGUGGAUCCACCUCCAGAAACACUGAUGCUGAUGAUAAAUACUGCUGUCAUCUCGAUCAGAGCACAUUCACUGCUUCAUCAUGGACAUCGAUCUGUGCUCAGCUGCUGAGGGUGAUGAGGUGAAGAAGCAGGAGGGCAACGAGGUGGAGUCUGGAAAAAAGGAUGAAGAUAAAGACAAAGGUCAAGAAGAUAAAGAUAAAGAGUGCAAGGACAAAGAUAGUGACAAGGCGAAGAGUGAUUGCAAAGAAAAGAAAAAAGACAAAGAGUGCAAAGACAAAGAUAAGGACAAGUGCAAAGACAAGAGUGAUUCUAAGCAUAAGGAUGAACACAAGAAGCACAAAGAUAAAGAACAUAAAGACAAAGGCAAGAAGAAGAAGAAAGACAAGGAACACAAGAAGAAGGGCGGUGGCAAGUCCUCCUCUUCCUCCAGCGAUUCGGACUGAAGCAAGAUUCAUCAGAUACCUCCAGAAACAUAAUGUAAAAAUCUUUUAUUGUAUGAUUUAUAUGACAAUCUCUUGAAGUUUUCAUCAAGUUAUUGAGCUGUGAUUCCAAACUUCCUCAAGGUGGCGCUACCUACAUGUCAAAUCUUCAGUGAAACACUGGAAUAAAGAGACUUGUCUGCUAUUUUUGUAAAACUGUUUGCUGGUUUAAUAAAUUCUGAUGUUUGAAAUAGUUUUAUCCAUUUAGUCUCAUACUGGCUUUCAGUGGUUGCUGGUUAGUGGGCUAUUAGUGUUUUGAUAAAUCUUGGCCGGUUUGACGUACACACAAGUCAUAUUUGAUCAAUGUAUGUGUGUAACAAUCAAAUUAAGGCAUUCAGCACAAAUGAAUUGAUAUGUAUUGUCAAAACAAGGCUUCGUGUAGUAACUUGGUUAAUUCACCAUGACAAAAGUCAGUAGUCAACACGACAGUAUCUUUGUCUAAACAGCACGCUUCUGCAAAUGCAUGGUUGAUUUGGAAGGUUUCAGCACGAUCUGUUUGCUUAUUCAUCUACGUUUGAGUACGGCACAGAUAAUUCAUCUGAACAGCAGGACGAAACGCAGGCUGCUUCCAAACACUGUUUUGGACGCUCUUUGCUGGGCUGAAGACAACUGCAUGCCAGAGAUAAGAGAACCGGGCGAUGGUUGCCCAGAGGCGGAAGAGAGGGAGAUGUCUCUCUGUCCAUCAGACUGAGACAGUCUUUCUCUCUUAUUCGGUGCCAAACGCCUGCAGGAUAGAUGCAAAGCACAGUGUAGCAUUUUUUUUCCCAGCACCACCCCGUCGAGCUUUCACAUGCAUAUUUCAUCAAACACACUGAAGAUGCUGAAAGUUGAAUCCGGGGGAAAGUUGGCUUGUUUCGGCCGUUUGAGAUGUCCGGGUCAGAGAUCUGAACAUCUGCUGCUCUGCACGUUUCUCACAGAAGAGGGGUGUAAAUGCAGAGGCGUUUGUUUCAGAGGUUACUUAGCUGGAGUUUGAGGACAAAUUGCUGCCAAAAGUAACUAAAUCGGACAAAGGUUAGUGGGCUAUUAGUGUUUUGAUAAAUCUUGGCCGGUUUGACGUACACACACAAGUCAUAUUUGAUCAAUGUAUGUGUGUAACAAUCAAAUUAAGGCAUUCAGCACAAAUGAAUUGAUAUGUAUUGUCAAAACAAGGCUUCGUGUAGUAACUUGGUUAAUUCACCAUGACAAAAGUCAGUAGUCAACACGACAGUAUCUUUGUCUAAACAGCACGCUUCUGCAAAUGCAUGGUUGAUUUGGAAGGUUUCAGCACGAUCUGUUUGCUUAUUCAUCUACGUUUGAGUACGGCACAGAUAAUUCAUCUGAACAGCAGGACGAAACGCAGGCUGCUUCCAAACACUGUUUUGGACGCUCUUUGCUGGGCUGAAGACAACUGCAUGCCAGAGAUAAGAGAACCGGGCGAUGGUUGCCCAGAGGC